GUGACACUCAAAAAGUAGCAGCACUUUUUUUCAUCACGAGGGAGAAAAAGUGCCCCCACAGUUUGAGUGCCAC
rfam:Dipodomys ordii contig_44323, whole genome shotgun sequence.